UGCACAGUAAGUGGAACACAGGGCCUCCGGU
rnacentral:piRNA from 1 species